rnacentral:lncRNA from 1 species
AGCUAACUUAUAAUUAUAAAAAUUCGAUUACAUUAUACGAACGAUAGAUGAAAUUACCUCUUCAUCUUCUAAAAUAAGAUUUAGAAAUCUUCUUUUUUUCUCACUUUCUCAUUCUCGACCUAUGUCAACAAUCUGGACUUUACAUUUCCAAUCUGGUGUCACGAUCAUUAUUUGAUUGAUGUUGCCUAUUAGCGCCAUGAUAUCUUGGUAACAGUGAUAAAAUAUAUCAGAAAAACACAAGGUAAGCAGAAAUCAGGAACAUCAUGUAAAAGUUUUAGCUAGUCAUUAUUCAAAAGAAAACUGAGUACAGAUAGAUAAGUGCAAUGACAAAUAAAGAUUGCAAAAUAACUCAAAAGACAGAGGCUCAAGCUAUAUUAUACAUAUAUACAAAUAGAGAAGAAAAGAUGACAAAAUUACGAAAGAAAAGAAAGAAGAAGAAGACAUGACCGUUAAGAAUUCAUAUCAGAAGUUGUUGUUGAAAAUACAGAGCACAUAACCUUAUAUAAAGGGCGGCACAUAGUACACACACUAACAUAGUCAAAGAGAAAGAAAUUAGCAGCCAACACAGAGAGCCCAUUAGCAUGGGCGGAUUUAGGGGGGCGCAAGGGGGUUCAUCUUCGCCGAAAAAAUACACUGUAUAUAUAAGGCAAAAUCUGUUUUUUACCUCUAUAUAUUAAGUUUUGAACCCCCUUAACACAAUCUAAAAGUGUAGUUUAGUGGUCAAGGAGGUUCAAAAUCUACAUAAGGUGCCCAUUAGAAUAACUAUUAAGCAACAAAUAUAGUACAUGUGCUUUAUACUUCUCAGUGAUAGAUAAUCUAAAACUUCAACCAUUUUUUUGACUGAAAUAAUCUUUUAAAAUAUUUGAAAGGCUUUUUAUAAAUAUUUGGAUAUGAACGCAACAAAUAAUAAUAAUUAAAAACAAAAACUCAAAGACAACAGAAAAUCCCGGAAAGUUCUAAAGAUUCUUCAUAAAGAUCAGUUCAAAGACCAAAACUAUCAAAAUCCAAAAUUCUGCAAGAAACCAAAGAAUUUUUUUUUGCAAGAAGUAGGAAACAGAGACGAAACGUGAAAAAAAGGGAAGAGAGAAGAAGAAACUAAUUAAGAUCAUAUGAUAAAGGAAAAUUAGGAUACCCAUUUUCAAGCAGGAAUUUUGCCCUUAUGAAUGAGUGAAAAAUUAAUUUGAGCUUCAUUCAUGAUAUUAGAAUCCUAUAGGAAUCUUGAAGUAGUAAUUACUUUUGGGAUUAAGUGUAUUUAUCUACUAUUCCAAAUUAUGCGCCCAGGUAUCAAUUUCGAAACAUGCAUGAGUAAGUAAAUCAAAAUAAGGACCCAAGAAUGUGAAAUAAAUAACGAAAAUGUGAAAACCUGAUUUCCAGAUAUUGAAGUCUUAGCUUCAUAAGCAAAAAUCACAAUAUGCAAAAGCCCAAAAUUUAAUAAUCAGACCACAUCACAUGCCAUAUCAUGGAAAAAUUAGAUCAUAUCAGAGAAAAAUUAAAAAGAUCUGAUAUUGAAAGAGUAAAGGAGAAAAGGGAAUUUUUCCAACAAAAAAAGAAAAUUGAAAAACUCACCAAAGAAUUGUGAAGCAGUGAAAGUUCAACUUUUG